GUUCAAGGCCAGAGAUGAGGUGGCGGCAGGAUUUGAAUCCUUGAUCCCACUCAUCACUGCUAACAAGAAUGUUAACUGGAUCAAUUAUAUCUACUAUAAACAGCAACGAUUUGUCAAUUAUACUAGAGAUUCCCUUCAGGGCUUAGCAGAACAAUUACAGACUACCUCCCAAAUGACAUUUCAGAAUCGAAUGGCCUUAGACAUGAUCCUAUCAGAAAAGGGGCGCAUGUGUAAAAUACUCCCCAAUACUAUGACAUGCUGUACCUUCAUCCCAGACAAUACAGGCCCUAAUGGUAAGGUAACCAUGGCUAUAGAGAAAUUAGAAAGUCUUUCUGACGAAUUAAAGAGGAAUUCGGGAGUCCCCAGUUUAUGGGACAGAUGGUUUGGAUGGAUGAAUGGAUGGCAGAAAACUCUCUUUCAAGUAGGUAUGGCAGUUCUUACUGUGGUAAUUCUCUUUCUCUUCCUGAUUUGCUGUGUGAAGCCCUGUGUACAGAAAUAUUUACAGAAGACUGUAGGUCAGACUAUUGAUCACACUACACCUACAUUCCUACAUCAGGAUAUCGACGAUAUGGACUGUGACACCCCACACACACCUCUUCAGUCCCACUACUUCAAACACACAACUACUUCCAUAUAGGGAUAGUAUAGGUACAGCAUCUGUCUCUACGGGCAGGAGUCUGACGCAGGAGAUGUAGUGGGUUAGCCGCUGUGGGAUACCUGCGCAGUGAAGCGUUCGAGGCCUGUUCAGACAGAUGAGCUGCAGCCAGUUAGGGACAUCAUUAGGGUUAGUUAGUAGUUGUCUCGCUCUUUCGUAAAUAGUAAUUUUAAGGGGGGACUGUUGUGGACAAAAAUAUUAACCCAAUCCAUGUUGGUAAAAUGCCUAUUUACUCAGUAUAACUACAAUCAGCAUUAUUCAACUUUCUAUGUGAUUUACCUAAAAUGGCCGCUAGGGAGUUUCCCUUUGACAUCGACUAACACCCUCAUUAACAAGAUGGCGCUGGAAUCUGGGGGAGACCUCCAAGAUACCAGUGACAUCACACCUGGUAGGAAGAGCACUAAAUGAACCACUUAACACCUAACCAAUUAUUGAUGUAUUAUUCCAUGUUAUCUCUG